UGCGUAACACGUAUAUAAUCUGCCCACAUCUGGGAAAUAGCCCGGAGAAAUUCGGAUUAAUGUCCCAUAACAUUAUUGGAAGGCAUCUUUUGAUAAUUAAAGCUCAGGCGGAUGUGGACGAAUAUGCGACUGAUUAGCUAGUUGGUAAGGUAACGGCUUACCAAGGCUACGAUCAGUAGGGGUACUGAGAGGUUAAACCCCCACACUGGUACUGAGACACGGACCAG
rnacentral:rRNA from 1 species